rnacentral:rRNA from 1 species
UACGAAGGGGGCUAGCGUUGUUCGGAAUUACUGGGCGUAAAGCGCACGUAGGCGGACUGAUAAGUCAGGGGUGAAAUCCCGGGGCUCAACCCCGGAACUGCCUUUGAUACUGUCAGUCUAGAGUUCGAGAGAGGUGAGCGGAAUUCCGAGUGUAGAGGUGAAAUUCGUAGAUAUUCGGAGGAACACCAGUGGCGAAGGCGGCUCACUGGCUCGAUACUGACGCUGAGGUGCGAAAGCGUGGGGAGCAAACAGG